UGUCCGUGACGUCACCCAUAGGUUUCUGAAGAGCGCAAAUGAAGCUUACUGUAGGCGUGGUCAGCCGUCGCCAUCUUGGAAGUGCGUCAUUCCCGGAUACUCGAAAAUGGGCAGAGGCGGAUCUUAGGCGGAGUUAAGAUGACUGUUUGCUGAAACCAUAGAGACCAUUCCACCACCCGCGACAUUUGAAUCAUUUGAACAUCUCAGCGUACUAUCGAGUUAUUGAUUGCUGCUUACAUCAUGGCCUCCUCUGAAACAUCCUCAUCCACGUCUGUUAGGUCACAAAAAUUAAACUACACAGUGUGGAUCAUUGGUGACAGUUAUGUCCGACGAGGUGCCCAGAGAGCGCAGGAGACUGUGGGCAACAACCUUGGGCUGCCUGGGGCCCAUAUCUCUUGGUUUGGCUGGGGCGGUUUAAGGUGGAAACGACUUCCAAAAUACUUCCAGGACUUGAUUAAAGGAAGAGUCGUACCAGAUGUCCUUGUCCUUCAUUGUGGAGGAAAUGAUAUUGGGGAGGUCACCAGCGUCCUGUUGGUGAACUCAAUGAAAGAGGACUUGCUCCAGAUGAAGCUCCAGCACCCUGAUAUGAAAAUUUUGUUUUCAUCUUUAACACAGAGGUGCUGGUGGAAGGCUGGUGCUAAGCCAGCUAAACUUGACAAGGCCCGGAAAUUUGUUAACAGUGUUAUGGCUACAUUUGUUGAUAGCCUAAAUGGUGCCAUGAUUAUGCACCCUCACAUUAGACAUGACAGUCCUGGGCUAUUCCUAAAAGAUGGAGUUCAUUUCACACCUAUGGGAAAUGAUAUUUUUUUAAGCAGUAUUGCCAACUGCCUUAAAGACCACAUUCAAAUGCAGUGAACAGCCAAUAGUGUCACUGCUUUUGAAUUUGGGCUUUAGGGCCCAUUUGAUUUAAAUAGCCUUGACCAUUAUGGCUAAUGUAGAGUUUUUUUUAAUGUUUAUUCUUAAGUGCCAUUUGUAGGCAUAACACUGUUAACCUCUGCUUUUCAUAUUGUUUAUUUUUUUAUUUUAUUAUUAUUAUUAUUACUUUUAAUCAUUCACAAAUUAUUGAAAUAUUGUUAGUUUUAUAAAUAAAUUCAUUUCAUUCUUGAAUGACAACGAGUUCUUCAAUUCAGUAUCUGGG
rnacentral:lncRNA from 1 species